GCAUUAGAAAUGGUAAUAGCCCCAGGGUUCUGGCUGCUUAGUGCCGCGAUGGCAACUGCUGGCUUGUCAUAACUUGGAUUGAACUGAAAGUGGAUCAGGCCUUGCGGGAACACAAAAACAUCUCCCUUGUUGAGCAUCUUACUGAAAAACUUGUUGUCCGGGUUAGACGUGACAAAACCAACGUAGAGUGAACCUUCAAGAACUGUUAGGAUCUCCGUGGCACGGGGGUGAGUGUGUGGAGGGUUCUGUCCUUGAGGAGCAUAGUCAAUCCUUGCCAUGGAGAUGCCGAGGGUGUUGAGACCUGGGAGCUUCAUCGCAUUGAUCAACGUGACGUUGGACUUGACCUUGCUCUUCGUCGUGUCCCCAGGCUUGUCAAGGUUGGCUGCUAGGAAGAAGUCAUCGACCUUAACAUCCUUCACAUCCUUGCAGGGUAACCCGUUGACACGUACUGCAUCAGCAUACAAGCAUGUGUUAGGAAGCUAUUCUCAGGUUUUGCUGUAAAACAUCAGAAUGUGAUCAUGUUUUCUUAGAUGAAGUACAUACCAGGCGAGUAUUUGUCUGCGACGCAGAAGUCCUGGAGAGGACCGGGAUCCGAAGCCAUGGCCCCAUAAGCGAUCAAGGCAAGAAGAACAAAGUGAAGAAGCAAGUUGGAGGAGGCCAUGUCUAGCAACCUCGGAGUUUGCUUUCUUCUUGCAAGCUAGGGAGCUCCUGGUUGUGUCUCGGAAUUUGUGUGUAUAGCAAUAGCUAGCUGAUGCUUUCUCCUUGGGGGUGGUUCAUCCUUAUAUAUAGCUGCUGAGAGUCUGAAGAGGUCAAUCAGCAGGGCCGGCGCACUAUAUUGAAAUGGUCGAUCAGGUGUAGUGCAACCCACGCAAGCAACUAUUUGAAUUUGUCAACACGGUCUUGUGUAGGUCAUCUACGCCCAGGACGCCUGAUGAAGUAACCUAGUAGUAAUAAACUGGAGAUCAUGUAGAUAUAAUGUGUUUCUAGCUAUCGUCAUGCAUGACAAUACAAAACGAUAGUGCUGAUUGGUUCUGUGAUCCAGGUAAAAAGAAACCUUGUUAAUUAUUAGGUUAAUUGUAAGACAUGGCCAUUUAAUUUGGAUAGGUUCAUGCAUGCGUUGACACUUUCAUAACAGAUAACCGUCUGCACGCAAAUUACUAAUAACUGAUCUGAUUAUUCUAAAUUAGCUCUUGUUUACUUCACCCCCAACUUCCAACUUUGGCACUAUGCAAAAAGAAGAUUCCCCAUCACAUCAAACUUGCGGUACAUGCAUGGAGUACUAAAUGUAGACGAAAUCAAAAACUAAUUGCACAGUUUUGUUGUGCUUUGCGAGACGAAUCUUUUGAGCCUAAUUAGUCAAUAUUUAGACAAUAAUUCACAAAUACAAACGAAACGCUACAGUGUCGCAUUUAUGACAAAAUGUCAAUUUUGGGGCUCCCAAGUUGGCAAGUAAACAAGGCGUUAUUAGUUCGUAACAAAUAUUUAUUGGUACCGUGGACACAGCAUUGCACAUGUAUGACUAAUUAGUUUGAUCAGUUAUACCUAGCACGUGAGAAUUUAUUUCUCCAUUAUAUUCAGUUAUCAAAAAUAAAUUUUAUAUGCACUAUAAAUUUAUAUACCAGUGAAGUAGAUAUUACACCUAUCGACUGCAAGGGGGCACCAAAAAAAAUUCACAGCCAUUGGUAAAAUAAAAUUUCUGCAAGGGAUAGUCUGCUGUCGCAUAAAAAAUAUUUUUUCUUUGGACCAGAUUGUCACUGAACGUCAGGAUGUGAUUAAAAAGAAUAAUUAAGCAAUGAUUUUCUCAUAAUUUUAGAAAUUUAUUAUAGGAAAACAAUUGGUCGUUUGUUUUAAAUUAAACAAGGUUGUUCUGUGUGUCUGUUGCAUUCAUGCCGAUGCAUCUUGGUGUUUCUUAAGUGCAAAAUAUUUUAAAAUGCUUUUAGAUGAUGACCAUGUUCUUCUGAGUAUUUCCCAACUUUUUCUAGAAUUUGCACUCAUUUUCCUAUAGCUAAAUCUAUUUAUUAGAAGGCUCUACAAUCUUUUUCAUGAGCUCCAAGUACUUUAUUUGGAUUCCUCAUGUCCCAGUCUAUCUAUGGGAUUUUUCCAAGAAUUUUUGAGAUUUUCAAAAGUAUUUUUCAUGGUUUAAUCGAAUUACCUAGAUUUUUUCUGGAUUUUUCUUUCACGAGAAAUUAUUUCUGAAAAAAAAGAAAAAUCUAAUCGAUUCGGUCAAGCCUUUGGGGCCUAACCCUCUCCAGUCAACCCGCACCGACCCGGCACAGUUAACGGCCUAGCCUGGCCCACUAGACCCACCGGCCACCGGCAGCUCAAGGCCGAGCGUAGCUGCUCCUAGGCACCACCGAACCUCGCCGUGCGCGCCAAGGCAGCCACGGACCCACACGCCUAUAAAAGGGCGAGCCCGUGCGCCUGCGACCCCCCCCCUGCUACAACCGCUUCCGCCUGCCGCUCACCCGGAUCUCCAUCGCCGCGCGUACCUGAGCCGCCCGCGAAGUAGAGUGCCCCCGGGCCCUCUAUGGCCAGUCACCUCAAUUAAUAGUUUGAUAAAUGCGACUCGACAAUUAAGUUUAUAUUAUAAAAUCACUUUUCAUGAUGAAUCUUCUAGUUUCAAAGUUACUUGCAUGUUUAACAAUAAAUAAUCAUUGCUAACUGCCCGGCCUGGCCCACUAGGCCCACCAACCACCGGCAUCUCGAGGCCGAGCGUAGCUGCGGCUAGGCGCCGCCGAACCUCGGCGUGCGCGCCAAGGUAGGCACGGGGCACGGACCUGCGCGCCUAUAAAAGGGCGAGCCCAUGCGCCUGCGACCCCCCCCCCCUGCUGCAACAGCUUCCGUCUGCCGCUUGCCUAGAGCUCCGUGGCCGUGUGUUGCGUCCCUGAGCUGCCCGCGAAGCAGAGCGCCCCCGGGCCCUCUAUGGCCAGUCACCACAAUUAAUAGUUUGAUAAAUGCGACUCGACAAUUAAGUUUAUAUCAUAAAAUCACUUUUCAUGAUGAAUCUUCUAGUUUCAAAGUUACUUGCAUGUUUAACAAUAAAUAAUCAUUGCUAAUUUAAAUAGUAUGACUUAGGAAAGGGUAGCCCCAUAUGUUCUAAAAUUUUUUUUUUGCGAAUGUUCUAAAUAAUUAAGCUGCACCAUAUAUGUUCAAAAAAACAGUUCUAGUGUGUUUUCGUUAUCAUAUUUUAUUUUUUUCAACGCAUUCAUACUAGCUUUUCAUGAAAGUGAUGUCAUGGCAAGAGAUGUUGCCCAUCAGGAAACAUCUAUCACAAAUAAUGAACUUGAUGGCAAAAUGAAAGAGAUACAUAGGGUUCCACUAAUUGAAGCUGGCAACAUAAAUCACCUGCAUAAAGCUUGUGACACAAGUCAGAGUGCAUAUAUCGUCAUGCAAACCAUCCAAUGUCGAACAUUUCUGGAUCAUGAUCCGAUUGUCUUUACGGAAUAUGUGUGUCACAGGAGUUUUGAAAUUCUUUGAUCCAAGAGAAGACCGGCAUGGGUCCCAUGCUUUUGCACAAACUUACUCAACGUUUCUGCAUCAUGAUGUGAUUGUCUUUUUGGAAUAUGAGAGCUGAAAACCAUAUAUUGCAUCUCAAUUAACUAACAACUGCAUUUCAUAUAUGAUUUGCAGUUUACAAAUGAUGUCAUACAAUGUUUUACACAAUCUAUAAGGGAGUAAUUUGCAACAUCAUAUAGAGAAAUAAAAUUAAUCAAUGUUGUUUCUUAUUACACAGCUAAGCAACCAUGAUGAAAGCAUUCUUGACUUAGUUGUGGUUGUCCUCCCAAAACUGAGCUUGGAGCCAAUCCACAACCUUCUUGUCCACCUGAAACGCCUUGGCAAGAACAUCAUCCGCAAUCGGUGGUUUCGACCCAAACACUGCAUUAGAAAUGGUAAUAGCCCCAGGGUUCUGGCUGCUUAGUGCCGCGAUGGCAACCGCUGGCUUGUCAUAACUUGGAUUGAACUGAAAGUGGAUCAGGCCUUGCGGGAACACAAAAACGUCUCCCUUGUUGAGCAUCUUACUGAAAAACUUGUUGUCCGGGUUAGACGUGACAAAACCAACGUAGAGUGAACCUUCAAGAACUGUUAGGAUCUCCGUGGCACGGGGGUGAGUGUGUGGAGGGUUCUGUCCUUGAGGAGCAUAGUCAAUCCUCGCCAUGGAGAUGCCGAGGGUGUUGAGACCUGGGAGCUUCAUCGCAUUGAUCAACGUGACGUUGGACUUGACCUUGCUCUUCGUCGUGUCCCCAGGCUUGUCAAGGUUGGCUGCUAGGAAGAAGUCAUCGACCUUAACAUCCUUCACAUCCUUGCAGGGCAACCCGUUGACACGUACUGCAUCAAUGAAGCAACAUACAUGUGUUAUGGGAGGCUCAUCAUCAAACGUGUACUACGCCAUGUGAUUUUCAUUACAAGGCGGUAUAAACUUUCUCAAUUUUCAUUUCAGCUUCGUUAUGAACCACGCAAUCAUGAUGUGAUACAGACGUGUUAUGAUUAAGAUGAAGACUGAAGCACAUACCAUGCGUGUCUUUGUCGGCGACACAGAAGUCCUGGAGAGGACUGGGAUCCGAUGCUAUGGCACCGGAAGCGGCCAAGGCGAGAAGAACGGUGAGAAGAAAGAAGUUGGAGGAGGCCAUGCCUAGCAACCUAGACAGGAGUUUUCUCUCUUCUAUGGAGCUGCCUGUUGUGUAUAUGUAUCUAUACUUAGCUGAUGCUUUGUCCAUGGAGGCGUUGCAUGCAUAUAUAUAGCAGCUGAGACUCUGAAGAGGUCAUUCAGCAGGUUGCCCAACAGAAAUUGUCUCAGGUGUAGUGUAUCCCGAGAAAGAACCUAUUUGAUUUGGUCAACACGUUCUUGAUGAGUAAAUCAAUGCAAUAUCUACUCCCAAGACCCAGAUGAGGUGACCGUGUAAAAUUGUGAUCGUGGUGUAAAAUUUUAAUAAACACAACAGUUAUCCAUCAGGAAAUAUGAGAGCAAAAGAAUACUAACAAGUAACAGUGUUGCAUAGUCCCAUGCAUGACCACGUCUGAUUAGUUACCAAACACAUACAUAAAAAAGGAUGAACUCGAGGAAACUUCGUCGAGUUUGACUGAUGCAAAUAAACAAUUGCAGAUGGUCAGAGCAUGUACUCGACCUGAUAACGACCGUUUCAAUCUAGCAAUGUUGCUCAUCUUCUGGUUGACUUAUUCCCAACCUCACCUACUCUUUCUGCUUCUAUAUAUACACGUCCAUCCUCCCCAGGGCCAAAGCAUCAAACAGCUAGCAGAAACCCAAACACCACCAAGCCAAAUAAGAACAACAGAAAUACACCAAAUGGCCUCCUCCACCACCUUUCUUGUUCUGACCGCUCUUCUUGCACUGCUCUCAUGGCAAGCGAUUGCUUCGGACCCAAGCCCUCUGCAGGAUUUCUGCGUUGCUGACAAGGAUUCUCAUGGUAUGUACCUUCACAUAUAUCAUCCGAACAUUUGUUAAUUAUUUGUAAUUGUACAAACUAUAUGUAUAAUUACAUGUAAUCAAACAUAUGUCGGACUUCAAUUCUUAUUAGCUUUUGGGCAUAACUUCAACAUGUGUUCCCCUCCAUGAUGCAGUGCGUGUCAAUGGAUUUGUGUGCAAAGACCCGAAGGACGUCAAGGCAGAUGACUUCUUCCUAGCAGCCAACCUCGACAAGCCAAGGGACACGACAGUUAGCAAGGUUGGGUCCAAUGUGACCUUGAUCAAUGUCAUGCGGAUCCCUGGCCUCAACACCCUUGGAAUCUCCCUAGCACGCAUUGACUAUGCUCCACUAGGCGAAAACCCUCCUCACACACACCCUCGUGCUACUGAGAUCCUAACAGUGUUGGAAGGCACACUCUAUGUGGGAUUCGUGACAUCGAACCAAGAUAACAAGCUGUUCACCAAAACGCUCAACAAGGGUGAUGUGUUCGUAUUCCCAGAAGGGCUCAUCCACUUCCAAUUCAACCCUUGCCCUGACAAGCCAGCAGUUGCAAUUGCUGCACUUAGUAGCCAGAACCCUGGUGCUAUUACCAUUGCCAAUGCUGUUUUCGGAUCAAAGCCACCGAUCUCAGAUGACGUCCUAGCCAAGGCAUUUCAAGUGGAGAAGAAGACUGUAGACUGGCUCCAAGCUCAGUUCUGGAGUGACAACCACAACUAAAUUCACGAUGUUGUAUUCAUACAAAAUGUUCUUAAUGUUUUUUAUUUUCUCAAUUUAUUUCUUGGAAGUCUUGACGUUGUAAUACAUUUGUGACCAGAAGAUCACAUGCUACAAAAUAUAAUUUACAGUUUAAAUAAGACUGUUAUAAAGAGAUCACACAGAAACAAUUGCUCUACUGAGACUUUUUUGCCAUCCCAACUCAUUUUUGUGUCUUUGUUAAUUGAAUUGUUUUGUGAGUCACAGGACUCUUGGCAUGAGAGAGAGGAGAGUAGCCUAGGGAACGGAUGCGAGACUUGCGAGUUAAGUGGAUUGUAUUUUUUUGGGUUCACGCUGCGUUUCACAGCUGGACAGUGUUAAAUUCCCACCUCCAACCAGCGGUGAAAAGUAUCAUCAGUGCCGGUUUUUGUGAUCCCUACCCCUAUCUAGUUAUAAACCGGCGAUAAAAGGAUAUCACCGCCGGUUCGCAUAAAACCGGCGGUGAUAGCCUGUUAGAGAUAGCUCGUUUUGUAGUAGUGCUACUUUAUCCAAAUGUAUGUCAGGAUCUAGUUUCAUACAUAUAUAUAUAGUGGCAUCAUUAUUGAAUAACAGUAACAGUAUCACGUAAAGGAAUAAGAGUGUAUAUUAGAGAUUUAUGCUUAAUCGUGGAAACAAAGGCUCCAAACUUCACAGGCAAACGACUGGGGCUGCAUACGCCUAGAACCCAAGAUCAUCUUCACAACAACUUCAUAGCAGCUUCUUCUUCUGAGCAACGUUGGUUAUACUCAGCAAGUGUGGAGAAAAUAUGAAUGCAAGCCUUAAAAAAGGAAAGGCUGACUGGUUUGCUGCAUUAAGCAUUUUUAGUUGGUCAUAUUUUUAUUAGCACCUGAUUAAGGUAUAAGUAUAUACCAACCCACAUUUAACAUAAACAUAAGCUAUAAGAAUAUGGCACAACCAUAACCACAAUUUAAGUCCACCUUCAAGUAUAUUAAUCAUGUGAGGGUCCAUGCCGCUCUUGACCAUGAGUAUGGCUAAUCGAUCAGUUUUACAUUCUGCAAAGAUUGCACAUCUUUACCCAUAAGUCGCAUAAAAGUUCAAAAGAACUUUGGACCCAACCAUGUUGUGCUGAUCAAGCACUCAUCACACUACCGAGGUGUGACCGCAUAGGAACGCUACGAGACCUUUACAAAGAUUCGCUACCAAGUGGUAACCCGUUAAGGUUUCCGAAUCAGUAGCAGAGCAUAGCCCUCCCUAGUGGGUUUAGUAUCUUAGCCAAGUCCACUUCCCAAGAUGACUGGGCUAUACCCCAUCUGCCGCCACCCCUCUUGCCCUUUUCAGGUAAGAUUACCCCAGACUUCAAGCUCGUGAAAAUGAUUUUAUAUUCUUCCAAAAAUUGGAUUUAGUUCUACGAAAAAUGAGAAUAAAUUACAGAAAAAGCUGGAUGGACAUCAUCUAAACGUAUUUUUGAAACUUUUACCCUCAAAAAACCCAAGAUGCAUCGGCAUGCAUGCACACACACAGAAUAACAUUAUUUAAUUUCGAAAAAUAAACAAUUAUUUUGUUUCCUAUUCUAAAUUUUCUGUAAAGAAAAAUAAAUGUUGGGAAAAAUUUUAAAAUUAUGACAAAAUCAUGGUUUAUUUAUUCCUUUUAAUCACAUCAUGAAAUUCAAAAUUUUCAGGGUGUGACAGCUCUCACUUCUCGAGGAGUCGGACAGUUUCAAGUUUGACUCCAAAUAGAUUUAGUAUAAAAAUAUAUUACAUGAUUAAUCUAUUGAUAUUUAUUUUCUACCAUAAAUGUUAGUACUAUUUUGUUUAAACUUGGUCAAAUUUAAAAUUAGUUGACUUCUUAGAAAGUGAGAGUUGUAUUCUUUUUGGGACACAAAAUAAACUUGGUCAAAUUUAAAAUUAGUUGACUUCUUAGAAAGUGAGAGUUGUAUUUUUUUGGGACGGAAGGAAUAUUUCCUUUCUUUUUCUUGCACGUCAUGAGAUUACUUGGACGCAGCAUAAUUCUCAAGUCUCCAAUGUUGCGUGUGGUCCUGAUAAUAAGACCCCAUUUGUCAAGAUCUUGAAGCAGGAGCAGUGCUAGCGGCCUGUGGAAAUGUCGACAUCGUUCAAAACGCAGCCGAUCAAAGACAAAAAGUUGUCACGUCAGCCAAGAACCGGAACCAGUUUGUUGACAAGCUCGCAGGCCUGUGGACAAUAUAAUAAGUUGAGGUACAAGUCAAGACAAUCUGUGUUGAAGAAAAAUAUUGUUUACAUUAAUAUCCAAACAAGACAUAGAAUGGUACAACAGCUUGCAGGCACACAUUAACAAGAAGUCAGUAGUACCUAAUACUCGCCAGUCACCACAAUUAAUAUUUUGAUAAAUGCGACUAGACAAUUAAGUUUAUAUUAUAAAAUCACUUUUCAUGAUGAAUCUUCUAGUUUCAAAGUUACUAGCAUGUUUAACAAUAAAUAAUCAUUACUAAAUAGUUUGACUUAGGAAAGGGUAGCCCCAUAUGUUCUAAAUAUUUUCUUUUGAGAAUGUUCUAAAUAAUUAAGCUGUACCAUAUAUGUUCAAAAAAACAGUUCUAGUGUGUUGUCGUUAUCGUAUUUUAUUUUUUUCAACGCAUUCAUACUAGCUUUUCAUGAAAGUGAUGUCAUGGCAAGAGAUGUUACCCAUCAGGAAACAUCUAUCACAAAUAAUGAACUUGAUGGCAAAAUGAAAGAGAUACAUAGGGUUCCACUAAUUGAAGCUGGCAACAUAAAUCACCUGCAUAAAGCUUGUGACACAAGUCAGAGUGCAUAUAUCGUCAUGCAAACCAUCCAAUGUCGAACAUUUCUGAUCAUGAUCCGAUUGUCUUUACGGAAUAUUCGUUUCACAGGAGUUUUGCAAUUCUUUGAUCCAAGAGAAGACCAGCAUGGGUCCCAUGCUUUUGCACAAACUUACUCAACGUUUCUGCAUCAUGAUGUGAUUGUCUUUACGUAAUAUGAGAGCUGAAAACCAUUGCAUCUCAAUUAACUAACAACUGCAUUUCAUAUAUGAUUUGCAGUUUACAAAUGAUGUCAUACAAUGUUUUACACAAUCUAUAAGGGAGUAAUUUGCAACAUCAUAUAGAGAAAUAAAAUUAAUCAAUGUUGUUUCUUAUUACACAGCUAAGCAACCAUGAUGAAAGCAUUCUUGACUUAGUUGUGGUUGUCCUCCCAAAACUGAGCUUGGAGCCAAUCCACAACCUUCUUGUCCACCUGAAACGCCUUGGCAAGAACAUCAUCCGCAAUCGGUGGUUUCGAUCCAAACACUGCAUUAGAAAUGGUAAUAGCCCCAGGGUUCUGGCUGCUUAGUGCCGCGAUGGCAACCGCUGGCUUGUCAUAACUUGGAUUGAACUGAAAGUGGAUCAGGCCUUGCGGGAACACAAAAACGUCUCCCUUGUUGAGCAUCUUACUGAAAAACUUGUUGUCCGGGUUAGACGUGACAAAACCAACGUAGAGUGAACCUUCAAGAACUGUUAGGAUCUCCGUGGCACGGGGGUGAGUGUGUGGAGGGUUCUGUCCUUGAGGAGCAUAGUCAAUCCUUGCCAUGGAGAUGCCGAGGGUGUUGAGACCUGGGAGCUUCAUCGCAUUGAUCAACGUGACGUUGGACUUGACCUUGCUCUUCGUCGUGUCCCCAGGCUUGUCAAGGUUGGCUGCUAGGAAGAAGUCAUCGACCUUAACAUCCUUCACAUCCUUGCAGGGUAACCCGUUGACACGUACUGCAUCAGCAUAUAAGCAUGUGUUAGGAAGCUAUUCUCAGGUUUUGCUGUAAAACAUCAGAAUGUGAUCAUGUUUUCUUAGAUGAAGUACAUACCAGGCGAGUAUUUGUCUGCGACGCAGAAGUCCUGGAGAGGACCGUGAUCCGAAGCCAUGGCCCCACAAGCGAUCAAGGCAAGAAGAACAAAGUGAAGAAGCAAGUUGGAGGAGGCCAUGUCUAGCAACCUCGGAGUUUGCUUUCUUCUUGCAAGCUAGGGAGCUCCUGGUUUUGUCUCGGAAUUUGUGUGUAUAGCAAUAGCUAGCUGAUGCUUUCUCCUUGGGGGUGGUUCAUCCUUAUAUAUAGCUGCUGAGAGUCUGAAGAGGUCAAUCAGCAGGGCCGGCGCACUAUAUUGAAAUGGUCUCAGGUAUAGUGCAAUCCACGCAAGCAACUAUUUGAAUUUGUCAACACGGUCUUGUGUAGGUCAUCUACGCCCAGGACGCCUGAUGAAGUAACCUAGUAGUAAUAAACUGGAGAUCAUGUAGAUAUAAUGUGUUUCUAGCUAUCGUCAUGGAUGACAAUACAAAACGAUAGUGCUGAUCGGUUCUGUGAUCCAGGUAAAAAGAAACCUUGUGAAUUAUUAGGUUAAUUGUAAGACAUGGCCAUUUAAUUUGGAUAGGUUCAUGCAUGCGCUGACACUUUCUUAACAGAUAACCGUCUGCACGCAAAUCACUAACUGAUCUGAUUAUUCUAACUUAGUUCGUAACAAAUAUUUUAUUGGUACCGUGGACACAGCAUUGCACAUGUAUGACUAAUUAGUUUGAUCAGUUAUACGUACCUAGCAGGUGAAAAUUUAUUUCUCCAUUAUAUUCAGUUAUCAAAAAUAAAUUUUAUAUGCACUAUAAACUUAUAUACCAGUGAAGUAGAUAUUACACCUAUCGACUGCAAGGGGGCACCAAAAUAAAUUCACAGCCAUUGGUAAAAUAAAAAAUUUCUGCAAGGGAUAGUCCGCUUUCCCAUAAAAAAAAAUUUCUUUGGACCAGAUUGUCACACCUUGAAAUUUUUGGAUUACAGGAUAUGAUUAAAAAGAAUAAUUAAACAAUGAUUUUCCCAUAAUUUUAAAAAUUUUCCAACAUUUAUUUUCCUGACAGGAAAUUUAUUAUAGGAAAACAAUUGGUCGUUUGUUUUAAAUUAAACAAGGUCGUUCUUUGUAUGUUGCAUUUAUGCCAAUGCAUCUUGGUGUUUCUUGAGUGCAAAAUAUUUUAAAAUGCGUUUAGACGAUGAUCAGGUUCUUCUGGGUAUUUCCCAGCUUUCUCUAGAAUUUGCACUCAUUUUCCUAUAGAUAAAUCUAUUUAUUAGAAGGCUCUACAAUCUUUUUCAUGAGCUCCAAGUACUUUAUUUGGAUUCCUCAUAUCCCAAUCUAUCUAUGGGAUUUUUCCAAGAUUUUUUGAGAUUUUCAAAAGUAUUUUUCAUGGUUUAAUCGAAUUAUCUAGAUUUUUUUCUCGAUUUUUCUUUCACGAGAAAUCAUUUCUGAAGAAAAAAGAAAAAAUCUAAUCGAUCGGUCGAGUCUUUGGGGGCCGACCCUCUCCAGCCAACCCGCACCAACCCGGCAUAGCUAACUGCCUGGCCUGGCCCACUAGGCCCACCGACCACCGGCAACUCGAGGCCGAGCGUAGCUGCGCCUAGGCGCCGCCGAACCUCAGCGUGCGCGCCAAGGCAGGCACGGACCUGCGCGCCUAUAAAAGGGCGAGCCCAUGCGCCUGCGACCCCCCCCCCCCCUGCUGCAACAGCUUCCGUCUGCCGCUUGCCUAGAGCUCCGUUGCCGUGUGUUGCGUCCCUGAGCUGCCCGCGAAGCAGAGCGCCCCCGGGCCCUCUAUGGCCAGUCACCACAAUUAAUAGUUUGAUAAAUGCGACUCGACAAUUAAGUUUAUAUCAUAAAAUCACUUUUCAUGAUGAAUCUUCUAGUUUCAAAGUUACUUGCAUGUUUAACAAUAAAUAAUCAUUGCUAAUUUAAAUAGUAUGACUUAGGAAAGGGUAGCCCCAUAUGUUCUAAAAUUUUUUUUUUGCGAAUGUUCUAAAUAAUUAAGCUGCACCAUAUAUGUUCAAAAAAACAGUUCUAUUGUGUUUUCGUUAUCAUAUUUUAUUUUUUUCAACGCAUUCAUACUAGCUUUUCAUGAAAGUGAUGUCAUGGCAAGAGAUGUUGCCCAUCAGGAAACAUCUAUCACAAAUAAUGAACUUGAUGGCAAAAUGAAAGAGAUACAUAGGGUUCCACUAAUUGAAGCUGGCAACAUAAAUCACCUGCAUAAAGCUUGUGACACAAGUCAGAGUGCAUAUAUCGUCAUGCAAACCAUCCAAUGUCGAACAUUUCUGGAUCAUGAUCCGAUUGUCUUUACGGAAUAUGUGUGUCACAGGAGUUUUGAAAUUCUUUGAUCCAAGAGAAGACCGGCAUGGGUCCCAUGCUUUUGCACAAACUUACUCAACGUUUCUGCAUCAUGAUGUGAUUGUCUUUUUGGAAUAUGAGAGCUGAAAACCAUAUAUUGCAUCUCAAUUAACUAACAACUGCAUUUCAUAUAUGAUUUGCAGUUUACAAAUGAUGUCAUACAAUGUUUUACACAAUCUAUAAGGGAGUAAUUUGCAACAUCAUAUAGAGAAAUAAAAUUAAUCAAUGUUGUUUCUUAUUACACAGCUAAGCAACCAUGAUGAAAGCAUUCUUGACUUAGUUGUGGUUGUCCUCCCAAAACUGAGCUUGGAGCCAAUCCACAACCUUCUUGUCCACCUGAAACGCCUUGGCAAGAACAUCAUCCGCAAUCGGUGGUUUCGACCCAAACACUGCAUUAGAAAUGGUAAUAGCCCCAGGGUUCUGGCUGCUUAGUGCCGCGAUGGCAACCGCUGGCUUGUCAUAACUUGGAUUGAACUGAAAGUGGAUCAGGCCUUGCGGGAACACAAAAACGUCUCCCUUGUUGAGCAUCUUACUGAAAAACUUGUUGUCCGGGUUAGACGUGACAAAACCAACGUAGAGUGAACCUUCAAGAACUGUUAGGAUCUCCGUGGCACGGGGGUGAGUGUGUGGAGGGUUCUGUCCUUGAGGAGCAUAGUCAAUCCUCGCCAUGGAGAUGCCGAGGGUGUUGAGACCUGGGAGCUUCAUCGCAUUGAUCAACGUGACGUUGGACUUGACCUUGCUCUUCGUCGUGUCCCCAGGCUUGUCAAGGUUGGCUGCUAGGAAGAAGUCAUCGACCUUAACAUCCUUCACAUCCUUGCAGGGCAACCCGUUGACACGUACUGCAUCAAUGAAGCAACAUACAUGUGUUAUGGGAGGCUCAUCAUCAAACGUGUACUACGCCAUGUGAUUUUCAUUACAAGGCGGUAUAAACUUUCUCAAUUUUCAUUUCAGCUUCGUUAUGAACCACGCAAUCAUGAUGUGAUACAGACGUGUUAUGAUUAAGAUGAAG
rnacentral:lncRNA from 1 species